rnacentral:tRNA from 1 species
ACCUGGCUGGCUCUGUCGGUAGAGCAUGUGAUUCUUGAUCUUGGGGUCGUGAGUUCAAGCCCCACGUUGGGCA